rnacentral:rRNA from 1 species
AUUGAACGCUGGCGGCAUGCCUUACACAUGCAAGUCGAACGGCAGCGGGGGAGAAGCUUGCUUUUCCUGCCGGCGAGUGGCGAACGGGUGAGUAAUACAUCGGAACGUGCCCUGUAGUGGGGGAUAACUAGUCGAAAGAUUAGCUAAUACCGCAUACGACCUGAGGGUGAAAGUGGGGGACCGCAAGGCCUCAUGCUAUAGGAGCGGCCGAUGUCUGAUUAGCUAGUUGGUGGGGUAAAGGCCUACCAAGGCGACGAUCAGUAGCUGGUCUGAGAGGACGAUCAGCCACACUGGGACUGGGAACCGGCCCAGACUCCUACGGGAGGCAGCAGUGGGGAAUUUUGGACAAUGGGCGAAAGCCUGAUCCAGCAAUGCCGCGUGUGUGAAGAAGGCCUUCGGGUUGUAAAGCACUUUUGUCCGGAAAGAAAUGGCUCUGGUUAAUACCUGGGGUCGAUGACGGUACCGGAAGAAUAAGGACCGGCUAACUACGUGCCAGCAGCCGCCGUAA